AUUGAACGCUGGCGGCAGGCCUAACACAUGCAAGUCGAACGAGUGGCGGACGGGUGAGUAAUGUCUGGGAAAUUGCCUGAUGGAGGGGGAUAACUACUGGAAACGGUAGCUAAUACCGCUUACCAUCAGCUGUGCCCAGAUGGGAUUAGCUAGUUGGUGGGGUAACGGCUCACCAAGGCGACGCUCCCUAGCUGGUCUGAGAGGAUGACCGGCCACACUGGAACUGAGACACGGUCCGGACUCCUACGGGAGGCAGCAGUGGGGAAUGUUGCACAAUGGGCGCAAGCCUGAUGCAGCCAUGCCGCGUGUAUGAGGAAGGCCUUCGGGUUGUAAAGUACUUUCAGAGGGGAGGCGUUACCCGCAAAAGAAGCACCGGCUAACUCCGUGCCAGCAGCCGCGGUAAUAC
rnacentral:rRNA from 1 species